rnacentral:tRNA from 1 species
GCGUUGGUGGUAUAGUGGUCAACAUAAUUCCAAGCAAUUGACCCGGGAUCGAUUCCCGGCUAACGCA